rnacentral:rRNA from 1 species
UACAGAGGGUGCGAGCGUUGUCCGGAAUCACUGGGCGUAAAGGGCGCGUAGGUGGCGAUCCAAGUCCAUGGUGAAAGCUCGAUGCUCAACAUCGAGUCGGCCACGGAUACUGGGUUGCUUGAGCACUGUAGGGGCAGAUGGAAUUCCGGGUGUAGCGGUGGAAUGCGUAGAGAUCCGGAAGAACACCGGUGGCGAAGGCGGUUAGCUGGGCAGUUGCUGACACUGAGGCGCGACAGCGUGGGGAGCAAACAGG